rnacentral:rRNA from 1 species
AUUGAACGCUGGCGGCAUGCCUUACACAUGCAAGUCGAACGGCAGCACGGGAGCAAUCCUGGUGGCGAGUGGCGAACGGGUGAGUAAUAUAUCGGAACGUGCCCGGUCGUGGGGAUAACGUAGCGAAAGCUACGCUAAUACCGCAUACGAUCUACGGAUGAAAGCGGGGGAUCGCAAGACCUCGCGCGAUUGGAGCGGCCGAUAUCAGAUUAGGUAGUUGGUGAGGUAAAGGCUCACCAAGCCGACGAUCUGUAGCUGGUCUGAGAGGACGACCAGCCACACUGGGACUGAGACACGGCCCAGACUCCUACGGGAGGCAGCAGUGGGGAAUAUUGGACAAUGGGCGAAGCCUGAUCCAGCAAUGCGCGUGAGUGAUGAAGGCCUUAGGUGUAAACUGCUUUUGUACGGUAACGAAACGGUGAGCUCUAAUACAGUUUG